GAAGCUUGCUUUGAAACUCGGAAAGCGGCGAAAGGGAGAGUAACGAGUAGUUAUCUACCCCAAGGCCCGGAAUAGCUGCGGGAAACUGCAGGUAAUGCCGGAUAAUAUCCCCGGAUCAAAGGUGUGAUUCCGCCUUGGGAGGAGACUGCUUUGUACUAGCUUGUUGGUAGGGUAAUGGCCUACCAAGGCUACGAUGCAUAGCGGGCGUGAGAGCGUGGCCCGUCUCACUGGGACUGAAACACUGCCCAGACACCUACGGGUGGCUGCAGUCGAGAAUCUUCGGCAAUGGGCGAAAGCCUGACCGAGUAAUGCCGCGUGCGGGAUGAAGGCCUUCGGGUUGUAAACCGCUGUCGUAGAGGAGAAAGGUCUGAUGAAGAAUCAGAUUUGAUCUAUUCUAGGAGGAAGUCGGGGCUAAGUUCGUGCCAGCAGCCGCGGUAAUACGAACCCGACAAACGUUAUUCGGAAUUAUUGGGCUUAAAGGGUGCGUAGGCGGUGCGGUAAGUGCGGUGUGAAAUCCCUCGGCUCAACCGAGGAAUUGCGCUGCAUACUGCCGUGCUGGAGGGAGACAGAGGUAAGCGGAACUGAUGGUGGAGCGGUGAAAUGCGUUGAUAUCAUCAGGAACACCGGUGGCGAAAGCGGCUUACUGGGUCUCUUCUGACGCUGAGGCACGAAAGCUAGGGUAGCGAACGGGAUUAGAUACCCCGGUAGUCCUAGCCGUAAACGAUGAGCACUUGAUUGAGGGCCCCCCCAUAGGCUCUCGAUCGCAGCGAAAGUGUUAAG
rnacentral:rRNA from 1 species